GGAAUAUUGGACAAUGGGCGAAAGCCUGAUCCAGCAAUGCCGCGUGAGUGAUGAAGGCCUUAGGGUUGUAAAGCUCUUUUACCCGGGAUGAUAAUGACAGUACCGGGAGAAUAAGCUCCGGCUAACUCCGUGCCAGCAGCCGCGGGAAUACGGAGGGAGCUAGCGUUGUUCGGAAUUACUGGGCGUAAAGAGUACGUAGGCGGUGAUUCAAGUCAGAGGUGAAAGCCUGGAGCUCAACUCCAGAACUGCCUUUGAAACUAGAUCGCUAGAAUCAUGGAGAGGUGAGUGGAAUUCCGAGUGUAGAGGUGAAAUUCGUAGAUAUUCGGAAGAACACCAGUGGCGAAGGCGACUCACUGGACAUGUAUUGACGCUGAGGUACGAAAGCGUGGGGAGCAA
rnacentral:rRNA from 1 species